GACGAACGCUGGCGGCGUGCUUAACACAUGCAAGUCGAACGGAAAGGCCCUGCUUUUGUGGGGUGCUCGAGUGGCGAACGGGUGAGUAACACGUGAGUAACCUGCCCUUGACUUUGGGAUAACUUCAGGAAACUGGGGCUAAUACCGGAUAGGAGCUCCUGCUGCAUGGUGGGGGUUGGAAAGUUUCGGCGGUUGGGGAUGGACUCGCGGCUUAUCAGCUUGUUGGUGGGGUAGUGGCUUACCAAGGCUUUGACGGGUAGCCGGCCUGAGAGGGUGACCGGCCACAUUGGGACUGAGAUACGGCCCAGACUCCUACGGGAGGCAGCAGUGGGGAAUAUUGCACAAUGGGCGGAAUCCUCAUGCAGCAACGCCGCGUGCGGGAUGACGGCCUUAGGGUUGUAAACCGCUUUCGCCUGUGACGAAGCGUGAGUGACGGUAAUGGGUAAAGAAGCACCGGCUAACUACGUG
rnacentral:rRNA from 1 species